UACGUAGGGGGCAAGCGUUGUCCGGAAUCAUUGGGCGUAAAGAGCGCGUAGGCGGCCCUGUAAGUCCGCUGUGAAAGUCAAGGGCUCAACCCUUGAAUGCCGGUGGAUACUGCAGGGCUAGAGUCCGGAAGAGGCGAGUGGAAUUCCCAGUGUAGCGGUGAAAUGCGUAGAUAUCUGGAGGAAUACCGGUGGCGAAGGCGGCAUCCUGGACCGACAUUGACGCUGAACGGCGAAAGCUAGGGGAGCAAACGGG
rnacentral:rRNA from 1 species